GCCGCUUUGGCUCAGUGGUAGAAGCGUCGCACUUGUACUUCGAAGAGAAGUUCAUGCGAAGGUCACUCGUUCAAUCCGGGUAAGCGGCA